rnacentral:rRNA from 1 species
CCUACGGGAGGCAGCAGUGGGGAAUAUUGGACAAUGGGCGCAAGCCUGAUCCAGCCAUGCCGCGUGGGUGAUGAAGGCCCUAGGGUUGUAAAGCUCUUUUUACCCGGGAUGAUAAUGACAGUACCGGGAGAAUAAGCUCCGGCUAACUCCGUGCCAGCAGCCGCGGU